UCUAAGGUCGUUUUUAUUGUAAUUGUAUAUGCUUCCUUAAAGGGGGGAGAAAAACAAUAAAAGAUGGUUGACUCCUUCGGGAGCCAACCACUUGGCUUUGCAACUGCGGCCAUACAAGUAAAAAAAAGAGAGAAUUGGAAAUUCUCUCCCUUUAUCACCUGGCCCGGCUGAGUAACGGCCUGACUCAAAUCACGGCCAAAACAAUGGACACCUAUGGCAAAAUAAAAGCUACCCUGGAGGCAAACAAAUUUGCCUUUUUUACUCACCAGCCCAGAUGGGAACGAGGUGCUAGACGUGCGACCCUUGAGACCGCAGUGCCAAACUUUGUCAAACGCUUCUGUAAUAUCGAUGAAUAUAGGCGAUCCAUACAGUUUGUCCUCAAAAGCUCUCUGGAGGAAUUGUGUAACGCGAGCUAGUUGAUGCUCGGCCCCAUGAAAUUUGCAUUUGUAUGGAUUGUGAAAGACGGUUACAUUUAAGGACCCUCUUGGCAAGCAAGGAUUCAAGUAUUUUUGUUUUGUUUGCCUAUGACAAAAAAAAACAACACAUGUUACUCACUUCUUGCCUAUAAGAGGGAAUUUUCCUGACAAUAAGAGCGCUGCCUCAAUGAUUUUGCCAACUGCAAUGACGCCAUGAAUCGAUAUGAUUCGAACUGAUAACCUGCAAGAAACAAUUAUACUAAUCACUAUUAAUGAACAAUAUUUGUAAAUACUAUAUUCUUUAUAAUUAUUGCAGCUUGCAACUUGUUCUUGAUCCUCUAGUUGUUUUUACGGUCCUUGGUAAAACCCAGUAAGCAUUUAUUUACUUGCAUGUAAAAAAUUUCCCAUGUAAAUUUCCCACAAUUUUUUUUUUGUCCUACCAGUAACACCCAACAAACAUUAUGUCUUAUAUAUUAAUCAUUCACACUAUUAAUAAGCCAUUGUAAAUUA